rnacentral:rRNA from 1 species
UACGAAGGGGGCUAGCGUUGUUCGGAAUUACUGGGCGUAAAGCGCGCGCAGGCGGUCUUCCAAGUCAGUGGUGAAAGCCCGGAGCUCAACUUCGGAACUGCCAUUGAAACUGUUAGACUUGAGGACGAGAGAGGUGAGUGGAAUUCCCAGUGUAGAGGUGAAAUUCGUAGAUAUUGGGAAGAACACCGGUGGCGAAGGCGGCUCACUGGCUCGUAUCUGACGCUCAGGCGCGACAGCGUGGGGAUCGAAACAGG